rnacentral:rRNA from 1 species
UACGGAGGGGGCUAGCGUUGUUCGGAAUCAUUGGGCGUAAAGGGCGCGUAGGCGGCCGAUCAAAGUCGGAGGUGAAAUCCCUCGGCUCAACUGAGGAAUUGCCUUCGAUACUGUUCGGCUUGAGUCCUGGAGAGGGUAGCGGAAUUCCCGGUGUAGAGGUGAAAUUCGGUAAGAUAUCGGGAGGAACACCUGUGGCGAAGGCGGCCAUCUGGACGGUAACUGACGCUGA